UACAGAGGGGGCGAGCGUUGUUCGGAAUUACUGGGCGUAAAGGGCGCGUAGGCGGCCAACUAAGUCAGACGUGAAAUCCCUCGGCUCAACCGGGGAACUGCGUCCGAUACUGGAUGGCUUGAGUUCGGGAGAGGGAUGCGGAAUUCCAGGUGUAGCGGUGAAAUGCGUAGAUAUCUGGAGGAACACCGGUGGCGAAGGCGGCAUCCUGGACCGACACUGACGCUGAGGAGCGAAAGCCAGGGGAGCAAACGGG
rnacentral:rRNA from 1 species